AUCCCCCUAUUUAACAGCCACCCAUCCCAGGCGUCCCUGCAUUUAAAAGCUUUGCCUGCCCGUCCCCUCCCUGAGACAUUUCUGGCUUAGUCUUUGAGCAUCUUCCUAUUAUAAUAUUCCCCUCUUCCUAUUGCAAUAUCUCCCUUAAUGAAGUCAAUGAAGUCUUUCAUAUUAAUGUCCAGAUUGCUUUUUUUUUCCUUUGACAGUAAUGAUGCCAUGACUCCGAUGGAGUGGUUACUACCCCUUGGACCCUGCUUUCUUCACCUCAGUGUUAAUGUCUUCUUAUGGAGCUCUGUGUCCUUUCCUGGCUGGGGAAAUUAGGAUCUACAGUGGUGGUUUUGUGUUUUACUCUGAUGCUUCCCAAAGAGCACUUGCAGAUCAGCUACAGGCCAAGUGCUUUGUCUUCAAAAGAAAGACUGUCUCAGAGACACAGGGAAAAGGACUAUGCCAGGUGUUCCACUUUUAAGAUGCCUGAUCUGAAGGACAUGGAAACAACUGACCUUUGCUAACACACCAAAUACGUAGUUUAACUAGCCCUCUAGGGACAUCACUGAGAAAAUGAUGAGCUGUUUCACACAGCCGUUCCCUGUUUGAGAUAUUCCUUAUCCCUGCCUUGUUCAAGGACAGUCUCUCUGAACCUGCCUUGACCAAGAAGAGAGACUGACAAGGCUGAUCAAACUUUGUGCUUACGACAGCUUUAAGCUGCUUUGCUGAGGACCACUAGGCCCUCAAGUGUAUGUGAGCUUCCUACAGUUUAACUUGUUUGCUUCAUCUCAGACCCAGAAUCCCAACCCCACGUGCCUAACUACAAACUAACUUUCCUGCCUCAACUUUUCUACUAGCACAAUAUUUGAUGCAGUUUACUAAGUUUCAGGGACCCUUCCACACAAUAGCUCUUAGAAUUGUAUCCCUCUUCUACUUUGCGUGGUCACCUAUCCCAGGGCCUCUGCAUAUAGAAGCCAUGCUUGCUCACACCUUGCCUGAAACUUUUCUGGCCUAGACUGUGAGCAUCUUCCUAUUGCAAUAAUCUCCCUUAAUAAUGUCUUUCCUUACUCAAGUCAAGAUUUACAUUUUUUUCAUUGACAAUGCAAAAGAUGUCAUUUAGGGUAUGAUUUUUGAAAGGUAAAAUUUAAAAAGUUCUCAGGAAGUUCGAACACUUGAUUAAAUAGGAUCACUGAGAACCAAUAUUUGGUUAUCUAUUUAACCAAAAUAAUAAUAAAUAUUUUUAAAAGUGGAUAUAGGACAUAACAUAAUUUAACAAACUUCAGCUCUUUUAAGUGAAAAGACUUUUUUCUCUUAAAUAAUCCAGAAUAUGAUAAAGUGCACACAGAGCAUAGGAAAUUAUUCUGAUAAGACCCUUAAUAGUUGUCUUCUAGGCAGAUUACUCAGACGGUAAAGAAAAAAAUCUUUUAUAAGCUCUUAUUAAGAGCAGAUCAAUAAUCUAAGAAAAAUUUGUCAUUGUAAUAGAGAGAAAACUAAAUUAUAGUUUUGAAACAGUAUAUAUGACACUAAAGGUCUUAUUAAAAAUCUUAUAAAUAAUCUCAUUAAACCUAAGCCAGCUUUGACUACAAGAAAUAAAAUUCCCUUCCAUGAAUUAUUUACAACUUUCUGUGUCCAGGCAGGUUUUGUCACACACUUUCCUCUUUCUCAACUCUGGAACAACCAAUCAUUUUACUCUAGAACAAAUCUAGUCCCAUCUCCCUUAACAAAAUAUAUCCUGCACACUUUGCAUGCAAAGUUUUUCCUUUCUGCCACUAUCGCUCCUACUAGAGUCUCAUUCACAUAUAUUGAUUAUAAUUUUUAACUACAGUAACUUCUCUCCCAUGGAGAAAACUAGGAGAUGGUAUGAAAGAAAAGUUAUUCACUGGACACGUUAAAAUGGCAAGGCAAAUCUGUGUAGAGCUUCUGUAGUAGGGAAGAGAGAAUUUGGCACAGAACUGAGCUCAGCUCCCAAAACUGCAAAGACAGCUGGAGACCUAUAGCCAAGGAGGAGAAUGAAGGGGUCGGCAGACGGAAAAUUACUAAAAGGAACUUAAUUAGAUAUCAAAGGUGGGGGGAUUCUUGCUAAAUUGUCUUAACAAGAUUCUUACUAAAAGCAGGUGAAGGACUUAGAUAUUCAAGGCAGAGGAUGAGGAAUUGAUCGGAUAACAAGAGUGGGGGGAUUCUCAGUUAACUUGGCAGAAUUCUUUGCUAAAACUGGACUCAGCAGGCCAAGGCUGAGAUCUAGUCUAGAAAAGGGCUUAGAGGAGCCUGACUAAAGUUUGCUCAAGGAGCAAGUCUCUGUCAGUAGAUAAUUGUAAACUAUCUUUCACGUACCAAUAUUUUUUAGCAGACAAGCGGAGCUAAUAAAUACACAUCUCAUAACUUUUUAUAGCCAUAAAUAUCCCUUAUUCUACCACUUCUCAAUGUGGCAAAAAUGAACAUGUCCAUUAACAAACCCAAAUAUAUAGCCUCUAUGUAUUAUAUAAAAAGAAUAGGAAAAAGUGUAUAAAAAUUUAUAUUUAGUAAUUAAUGCUUCAGUAUUUUAUCUUUCUUAGAUAUGAUCUGGGUAUCCAAUGAUAAUUCACUAAUUAAGUCAAUUUAGCAUCAGUCCAAGGUUUUAAGUUACCAAAAGAUUUUGGAAACUUUCUUUAAACUGAAAUUAUAAAACAUAAU